ACCUCUGCAAUCCUCCCUAUAGCAAGAUGGGUCAAAGCCUGAUCCCUACCCCCCAAAAUGGGUGUCAAGUGUCUCCGUCAAGGACAGACUUAAGACUCACCCGAAAGAAAACGAGACUUCUGGUAAAGCCCUAGAGACCUGAUCUGGCAUCACCGGCUUUGCUCUAUUUGCUUUGAGGAAGCCAUUCUUCACUGCAUCUGCUCUGUGUACAGAAUCCUUCUCAUUCUAAUCCACCUUGGUGGCCCUAAGUGCUUAGAUAAGCAAACUCAGCUCACCAAUACCAUGAGGUUCUUUGGUGGGUGAAGAGAUGUUUCCUUUUCCCAGGUCCCCUUACUUCCUCUCCGCCCCCCCACUAAACUCCCGUCUUCUCUCUGUACUUCUCUCACCUUGUACUCCUGCACCACCUCCUCCAAUGGCACCACGCUGUGCUGUUUGUGGCUCCUGGAUUCUCGGCACACCACACAGAUGGCCUCUUCGUCUACCUCGCAGAAGAGCUUCAGGGCUUCUUGGUGUUUGGGACAGAUGCCCUGAUCGGUCACGCGGCUCCCUCGAC
rnacentral:antisense_RNA from 1 species